CAGCCUUGCAAGAGCCGAAGCUGUCCACUCUCGCACCACGGGACUGACGCAGAGAAUGUUCCUUACGUUUGUAGGCAGCUUGGGGCAGGCAGACAUCAAGAAUACCACCCACACUGCUUUGAGAGAUAUUCCUUAAUCUGACAUAAAGAGGGCUUUGACCAAUGACAUGGCUUAUUCCUGGCAUUAGUUCUUCCCUUCCACCCAAACUGAAGAUACGAUUGCCUUGCGUGUGGGCAGAGCACUGUGUGCAGCGGUAGGAGAAGGUGCACAUGCUUACUGUGUCCCUACCGAGCAGUGCUGGGAGGGCUGUGAAGGAGACAGGUGUUCGCUUUGAAGACGAUGCAUGUGAGUUACUUUGCUUAGGAAGAAGGAAAAUGAAAACAAGACCGAACUCAUUUCUGGUGGCAUUGAUCUGACCUUCAAUUGGGUGUCCCCAGCACAAUUUUCUAAGGAAUAGGAUGUUUAUUAUACAAAUAAAUUACAGAAAAACCCAAUUCCCUUUCACUAUAAUUAAGGCUGAUUCUCCUUUCAUUCUCUUUGUGUGUAAUUGUGGCACUUUAUUUAUACUUUUAAAUUAUGUAAAACGUUUCAAUGUAACCUGA